rnacentral:rRNA from 1 species
UACGGAGGGUGCGAGCGUUAAUCGGAAUUACUGGGCGUAAAGCGCACGCAGGCGGUUUGUUAAGCUAGAUGUGAAAGCCCCGGGCUCAACCUGGGAUGGUCAUUUAGAACUGGCAGACUAGAGUCUUGGAGAGGGGAGUGGAAUUCCAGGUAUAGCGGUGAAAUGCGUAGAUAUCUGGAGGAACAUCAGUGGCGAAGGCGACUCCCUGGCCAAAGACUGACGCUCAUGUGCGAAAGUGUGGGUAGCGAACAGG